rnacentral:rRNA from 1 species
AUGCUCCUCUGCUCCAAGGAAGGGAGAUCCUUGACGCGGCCGUGCGGCGGACUCCGUCAAGGGCCUCCAUCUUCGACCCUAGCAGCUGCUGCUAUCCUCCAGUGGCUGCUCCUCAAGGCACACGCAACAUCCAACAACCCUAGCCAGAGAGGCGCUGCUGCUGCCAAUGAGUUUGGCCAACACAAACACCUCUGCUUGCUCUGUUUCUUGGUUUGGGCAUGCGAGGUCGUCUGCUCGAGCAACCCCAAUUUUACUGUUUUAUUUAGCCGUUCCACAAAACGGUGGACCUGCUUUCAGGAUGUUGGAGCUGUUGUAUUGGUCGCACCAGGGCUAGUUAAUUAG